AGAGUUUGAUCCUAGCUCAGGAUGAACGCUGGCGACGUGUUUUAGGCAUGCAAGUCGAACGAGUAUAGCUCGCAAGAGUUAUGCGAGUGGCAAACGGGUGAGUAACACAUUGGUAACCUACCCCCAAGAUGAGUAUAUCUCCGCGAAAGUGGAGUUAAUUCUCAAUGGUCUCAGCGGAAGAAAUUCCGUUGAGUAAAGGAGCAAUCCGCUUGGGGAGGGGCCUAUGAUCUAUCAGCUAGUUGGUGAGGUAAUGGCUCACCAAGGCUUUGACGGAUAGCGGGUGUGAGAGCACGACCCGCCUCAUGGGGACUGAGACACUGCCCUGACUCCUACGGGAGGCUGCAGUCGAGAAUAUUCCUCAAUGGCCGAAAGGCUGAAGGAGCGACGUCGCGUGACUGAAGAAGCCCUUCGGGGUGUAAAGGUCUUUUAUUAGGGAAAAACGUUGAUGGUACCUAAUGAAUAAGAGGUUGCUAACUCUGUGCCAGCAGCAGCGGUAAUACAGAGACCUCAAGCGUUAUCCGGAUUUAUUGGGCGUAAAGGGUCCGCAGGUGGUUUGGUAAGUUCUACCUCAAAUCCAAGUGCUUAACAUUUGGACCGGGUGGAAAACUAUCAGACUAGAGGCCGGGAGAGGUGAGUGGAAUGGCCGGUGUAGGGGUAAAAUCCGUUAAUAUCGGCUAGAACACCAAUGGCGAAGGCAACUCACUAGAACGCGCCUGACACUCAUGGACGAAAGCGUGGGUAGCGAACAGGAUUAGAUACCCUGGUAGUCCACGCCCUAAACGAUGGAUACUUGGCAUUGGGAGUAUCGACCCUCUCAGUGCCGCCUCUAAGCAAGCUAACGCCUUAAGUAUCCCGCCUGGGAAGUACGGCCGCAAGGCUAAAACUCAAAGGAAUAGACGGGGACCCGCACAAGCGGUGGAGCAUGUGGUUUAAUUCGAUGAUAAGCGAGGAACCUCACCAAGGCUUGACAUUAUGCCUAUGUUUUUCUGGAAACAGGAAAACUUAGUGGCAUGACAGGUGCUGCAUGGUUGUCGUCAGCAUGUGCUGUGAAGUGCACCCUUAACUGGGGUAACAUGCGCAACCCUCAUUUUGAUUUAGAAAUUCAUCAAAAAACUGCCUGGGAUAACCAGGAGGAAGGUGGGGAUGACGUCAAAUCAGCAUGGCUCUUACGCCUUGGGCAACACACGUGCUACAAUGGGAAGUACAAUGGGCCGCAAAACCGCGAGGUGGAGCCAAUCCCAUCAAAACUUCCCUCAGUUCGGAUUGAAGUCUGCAACUCGACUUCAUGAAGCUGGAAUCGCUAGUAACCGCGUAUCAGAUUGGCGCGGUGAAUACGUUCUCGGGUCUUGUACUCACUGCCCGUCACGCCAAGGGAGCCGGCAAUACCCGAAUUCGCCUUUUCGGCGAAGAAGGCAGGGCCGGUAACAGGGGUGAAGUCGUAACAAGGCAUCCGUAGCGGAAGCUGUGGAUG
rnacentral:rRNA from 1 species